rnacentral:tRNA from 1 species
UGGCUCAGACAGUAAAGCGUCUGCCCGCAAUGCAGGAGACCCAGGUUCGAUCCCUGG